AAAUAAGAUUUAUCAUGAGAAGUCAGCCGAGGUCAUAGUACUGAAUGUAGUAGACGACAUAUAGGAAGGAC
rfam:Clostridium sp. DL-VIII chromosome, whole genome shotgun sequence.